UAUAAAUCCGAGAGAGAGGCGGCUGGCAGUUCAGAAUACGUGGCAGCUCUUCUCUGUGCGAAGCCUUCUCAGCUGACUGGCAUUGGCGGCUCGUUUGAUUUCAGAAUCAACCCAUUGUCGCUGUGUUUAUAAGAACUCAACUGGAAGGAUUCGGUCGUGUGUGAGAGAUAGAGAGACAGUCUCUGUGAUUCAGACUGACCGACAAGAAAGUGCAAUAAAGAUAUUUUGAGUGACCUCCGAUUGGCUGUGUGUGUGGCGACCGGACUUUGUGCCUUUCCCUGUGUCGACGUCGAAGUCGUGGUGGGCGAAGAAAUCGCGCUGAUUGCUCUGGACGAGUGGAGAGAAAGACCAACAGCAACAAAAAAAAAAAAAAGAGAAAAACGAGAGAAGAAAGAGAGAGGCCACUUCUCAGGUGUCGACACGAAUUUGUAAGACAAACGAGAGAGAUAACGGAAAAAA